GAAUGCUUAAUUAGGAUGAUGAAGGUUGGAGUAGGAUGCUCCAUGGAGUCUCCUCAAGAUAGAAUGGCCAUAAGUGAUGCAGUCAAUGAGUUGCAAUCAAUCAGAAAGUAUUAUAUGGGAGCUAGAGCAGGCCUCUCCACUCAAGCAAGAUCAUGAAGUGUGAAAUUUGAAAUGAGGCAGCUAAAGGAGCAGAGCAGAGCAGAGUUUAUAAGGGUGGAAGAAGCAAUAGUGGCAGGAUAAACAGAGCAAAUAGCAGGUUGAUGUUUGCAUUGGAAAAAAAAAAAAAAGUAUUUCUCUACGA